UACAUGGGGUGCAAACGUUGCUCGGAAUUAUUGGGCGUAAAGCGCACGUAGGCGGUUUGUUGCGUCGGCUGUGAAAACCUACAGCUUAACUGUGGGCCUGCAGUCGAUACGGGCAGACUUGAGUUCGGCAGGGGAGACUGGAAUUCCUGGUGUAGCGGUGAAAUGCGCAGAUAUCAGGAGGAACACCGGUGGUGUAGACGGCUCUCUGGACCAUAACUGACGCUGAGACACGAAAGCGUGGGUAGCAAACAGG
rnacentral:rRNA from 1 species